rnacentral:lncRNA from 1 species
CAACAGCAGAGACCUGCAGAUGAGAACACCUUUAUGAAGAGCAAGACCAUGCUUUGAAGUUGGGCAGAGAUCUUGGUUCAAAUCCUGGCUCUGCCGCUUGUUAGCUAAGUCACUUCAGGGCUUGUUUCUGAGAGUGUGCACGGAGAUUGAAGGGCAGGGGCUCAUGUGACAGUGUGAAGCAGGAAUUCUGACCGUUGGCCAAACCAAGCCCUGAAACUCAAGUUCUGUUUGGGAGUGAGAGGCAGAAAGCCUUGGAGGCAGCUUCAAUUAGAAGCUAAUUUUACUAAUUAGAAAAUUGGUAUCAGAAGGACGAUUGAACGUGUCCAACGUCACACAGCCAGUAAGGAGAGGGGCCUGGACUGGAGCAGACCUGUCUGAUUCACUCAGACAGGACUGGAGCAGACCCUUGCUUUAUUCACUCAAUAGUUUUUUCCAAAGGCUUUUUAAGAAGAGGACUUUGGAGUUGUAAAGAAUUUAGAUACGUGGAAAUGAGAGAAAGGCCUUCCAGGCAGAGGAAACAGGAUGAACAAAGUCUUGGCAGGAAGCAUGGUUAUGUCCCCUGAAGCCCUGGUCCACAUGAAGCUCUUCCUGCUUUUCUUCAGAGGAAGAUGCAGGAGCUGGUUAAUGGAAUGGAUUUUGCAUUCAGACGUAGGUUUGAAGCUUGGCUCUUCCACCUAGUAGCUGGCUGAUCUUGGGAAGAAUUCCUGACCUUUCUGAGCCUCAUUCUGCUUGUCUGUAAAAUGGGAAUAAUAGUACUCCCUACCUUUUGGAGCUUUCUGGGAAAGAUUUAUGAGCUGGUGCACAUAAAGUCUCUGAACAGAGCCUAGUACUUAAUGUUUAAUUACGGUGGUGGUGGGCGGGGGGAGGGUGAUAAUGGUCUUUCUUCCUGCCUCUUUCUUCCUCU